AGUGUAGCUCAGCUUGGUAGAGCAACGGUCUCCAAAACCGUGUGCCGAGGGUUCGAAUCCUUCCACUC
rnacentral:tRNA from 1 species